UACGAAGGGUGCAAGCGUUACUCGGAAUUACUGGGCGUAAAGCGUGCGCAGGUGGUUUUUUAAGUCUGCUGUUAAAGCCCCGGGCUCAACCUGGGAAUGGCAGUGGAUGCUGGCAAGCUAGAGUGCGGUAGAGGGGUGUGGAAUUCCCGGUGUAGCGGUGAAAUGCGUAGAGAUCGGGAGGAACACCAGUGGCGAAGGCGGCCCCCUGGACCAGAACUGACACUGAGGCACGAAAGCGUGGGGAGCAAACAGG
rnacentral:rRNA from 1 species